rnacentral:lncRNA from 1 species
CAAGCGCCGAGGGCCAAGCUCCAAGCACCAUGCUCUACCGACUGAGCCACACAGGACCUCAUGAUCAUGAUGAUUAUAACAUUUGCAUCUAGUAUUUUUCCCAGGUCCAUCUGUUACCUCUCUCUGGCUCUGUUAUGACACUCUGCUUUUUGGUCCUCUGUGACCAAGAUAAAAGAGACGAGAUCUCACCCAGAGAAAACUGAGAGUUUCUGGGUAUCGUAUAUGUGUGUGUGUUGUGUGUGUGUUGUGUGUGUGUGUGUUGUGUGUGUGUUGUAUGUGUGUGUGUUGUGUGUGUGUUGUGUGUGUGUUGUAUGUGUGUGUGUUGUGUGUGUGUUUAUGUGUGUGUGUUGUGCAUGUUGUAUGUGUGUGUUGUGUAUGUGUGUGUGUUGUGUGUGUGUUGUAUGUGUGUGUGUUGUGUGUGUGUUUAUGUGUGUGUGUUGUGCAUGUUGUAUGUGUGUGUUGUAUGUGUGUGUUGUGUGUGUGUUGUGCAUGUUGUAUGUGUGUGUGUAUGUGUGUGUUGUAUGUGUGUGUUGUGUAUGUGUGUGUUGUGUGUGUGUGUUAUAUGUGUGUGUGUUGUGUGUGUGUUUAUGUGUGUGUGUUGUGCAUGUUGUAUGUGUGUGUUGUAUGUGUGUGUUGUGUGUGUGUGUGUGUUGAAUGUGUGUGUUGUAUGUGUGUGUUGAAAGUGUGUGUGUGUGUGUGUUGUAUGUGUGUGAAGAAUGUGCGUGUUGUGUGUGUGUUGUGUGUAGGUGUGUGUUGUGUGUGUUGUGUUGUGUGUGUUGUGUGUGUGUGUUGUGUUGUGUGUGUUGUGUGUGUUGUGUUGUGCGUGUUGUGUGUGUUGUGUUGUGCGUGUUGUGUGUGUUGUGUUGUGUGUGUUGUGUGUGUGUUGUAUGUGUGUGUUGUGUUGUGUGUGUUGUGUGUGUUGUGUUGUGCGUGUUGUGUGUGUGUUGCAUGUGUGUUGUAUGUGUGUUGUAUGUAUGUGUUGUGUGUUGGUUGUAUGUGUGUUUGUUGUACAUGUGUUUGUUGUAUGUGUGUGUGUUGUAUGUGUGUGUGUGUGUGUUGUUUGUGUGUUUGUUAUGUGUGUGUGUGUGUGUGUGUGUGUGUGUGUGUGUUGUGUGUGUGUUGUAUGUGUGUGUGUUGUAUGUGUGUGUUUGUUAUGUGUGUGUGUGUGUGUUGUUUGUGUGUUUGUUAUGUGUGUGUGUGUGUGUGUGUGUGUGUGUUGUGUGUGUGUGUGUGUGUGUGGUAUGUGUGUUGUGUGGUAUGUGUGUUGUGUGUGUGUGUGUGUGUGUGUGUGUGUGUGUGUGUGUGUGUGUGUGUGUGUGUGUGUGUGUGUGUGUGUGUGUUGUGUGUGUGUGUGUGUGUGUGUGUGUGUGUCUCAGCAGCAAUU